rnacentral:tRNA from 1 species
UCUCCUAUAGCUCAGUUGGUAGAGCGUGCGGCUGUUAACCUCAAGGUCGCUGGUUCAAACCCAGCUAAGAGAG